rnacentral:lncRNA from 1 species
AUCCUCGGCUUUGGAUUUGUGUAGAUAUGCAGAUUGUAUUGACGCAUGUUCCCAGCAUAUCCUCCACGAACUCUUUAUACAAAAGUUGCUUCAUCUCUUCCAAGAAGCGUUUGGUUCAUCAUAUUCAAUACAAAUGUAUGCAUCUUGUUCCCAACGCAGGCAUCCUCGAUUAAGGUAUCCUCCACAUUAAUUGUCUUUUCAUCCUCUGAAAUUUGGUUAAAUGAUAACCAAUCCUACAUGUCUUGUUCCCAGCGGAAAUAGAAUUUCGAACCUUGGUGAUGGCCUGCAAAAUUAAUGUAAUGUGAUUCAUCUCUUUCAGCAUCACUUACGUCUUCAUUCCCCUUGGUGUAUUCUUCUCCGGAAUCAUCUCUUCCAACCUCACUUUCGGCUUUGUCCUCCCAUCUCAAGUGUAUGUCGG